rnacentral:rRNA from 1 species
UGAAUACGAGACGCUAAGGCGUCGAAGUAGUGUAUGUCAUACUUCCAAGAAAAGCUUGCACUGUCAUAGAUAAAAAACGCCUGUACCAUAACCGACACAGGUGGGUAGGUAGAGUAUACUAAGGGGCGCGAGAUAACUCUCUCUAAGGAACUCGGCAAAAUAACUCCGUAACUUCGGGAGAAGGAGUGCCUUAUUCGUAAGGUUGCAAUAACAAGAUCCAAGCAACUGUUUAUCAAAAACACAGGUCUCCGCUAAGUCGUAAGACGAUGUAUGGGGGCUGACGCCUGCCCAGUGCCAGAGGGUUAAAGAAGUUGGUUAGCAAUUGCGAAGCUGAUAACUGAAGCCCUGGUGAACGGCGGCCGUAACUAUAACGGUCCUAAGGUAGCGAAAUUCCUUGUCGGGUAAGUUCCGACCCGCACGAAAGGCGUAAUGAUUUGGAUACUGUCUCGGAGAGGGGCUCGGUGAAAUAGACUUGUCUGUGAAGAUGCGGACUACCUGCACCAGGACAGAAAGACCCUAUGAAGCUUUACUGUAACUUGAAAUUGAAAUUGGACUUUAUUCGCGCAGUAUAGGUGGGAGGCGUUGAUUAUAAUCUUGUGGGAUUAUUGGAGCCAUCAGUGAGAUACCACUCUUGUAAUGUUAGAUUUCUAACUUUGAAUCAUUAUCUGGUCAAAGAACAGUUUCAGGCGGGCAGUUUGACUGGGGCGGUCGCCUCCUAAACGGUAACGGAGGCGUACAAAGGUUUCCUCUGAACGGUUAGAAAUCGUAUCUAGAGUGUAAAGGCAUAAGGAAGCUUGACUGUGAGACCUACAAGUCGAGCAGGGACGAAAGUCGGUCUUAGUGAUCUGACGGUACUGAGUGGAAAGGCCGUCACUCAACGGAUAAAAGUUACUCUAGGAUAACAGGCUGAUCUCCCCCAAGAGUUCACAUCGACGGGGAGGUUUGGCACCUCGAUGUCGGCUCAUCGCAUCCUGGGGCGGUAGUACGUCCCAAGGGUUGGGCUGUUCGCCCAUGAAAGCGGUACGCGAGCUGGGUUCAGAACGUCGUGAGACAGUUCGGUCCAUAUCCGGUGUAGGCGUUAGAAUAUUGAGAGGAGCCUUCUUUAGUACGAGAGGACCGAGAAGGACAUACCUCUGGUGUACCAGUUAUCGUGCCAACGGUAAACGCUGGGUAGCUAUGUAUGGAGUGGAUAACCGCUGAAAGCAUCUAAGUGGGAAGCCCACCUCAAGAUAAGUAUUCUC